GUUGAACGCUGGCGGCAGGCCUAACACAUGCAAGUCGAGCGGAUGACGGGAGCUUGCUCCUUGAUUCAGCGGCGGACGGGUGAGUAAUGCCUAGGAAUCUGCCUGGUAGUGGGGGACAACGUUUCGAAAGGAACGCUAAUACCGCAUACGUCCUACGGGAGAAAGCAGGGGACCUUCGGGCCUUGCGCUAUCAGAUGAGCCUAGGUCGGAUUAGCUAGUAGGUGAGGUAAUGGCUCACCUAGGCGACGAUCCGUAACUGGUCUGAGAGGAUGAUCAGUCACACUGGAACUGAGACACGGUCCAGACUCCUACGGGAGGCAGCAGUGGGGAAUAUUGGACAAUGGGCGAAAGCCUGAUCCAGCCAUGCCGCGUGUGUGAAGAAGGUCUUCGGAUUGUAAAGCACUUUAAGUUGGGAGGAAGGGCAGUAAGCUAAUACCUUGCUGUUUUGACGUUACCGACAGAAUAAGCACCGGCUAACUCUGUGCCAGCAGCCGCAGUAACAC
rnacentral:rRNA from 1 species